ACUCCAAUGUGAAGAGUCUCCACACCAUCGUAUGAAAUGCAGCUGUUUGAAGCGAUUGAGGGAGCGGCACGGCAGACAGGCAGAGCACAGUGAAUCGGAGGGCCCUGGCCUGAAUCCGGCCAACUUCCUCUCUGCGCUCGCCCGGCAUGCACCUCGACCACCCCCUGCCGGCUCCACGACAGACGCGACCGCUUCCGCCCUCGAGCAGGACGCUGGGCGCGGCUCUCUUGGAUCAAGGCAUGCAACCCACCCAUGUGCGUGUGUCGCCGAUGGCGCGGCAUGCGUGCGAGGAAGGGACGAGCAAGGGCAGGAGGAUCCUGCUAGAUGCAUGGUCCGAUUCGACGGCAGACUGCUCGUCCUGGCCGACUCGGAUGUAGCCGCAGUGCGACAGAGGGGCGUGUGAGCUGUGGUCGAAUGCUUGCCUUUGCCGACUUGCCCGUGGCAGAGGGGCGGGGUGCCAACGAAGGGGAAUCCUUCAUUGCUUCUGACAGGCAAGCGAGACCGGAGAUCAAAAAGGUAAUAGCAAUAAGAAAAAACACACACACGCGUACAAACCAGCAAAACACCUCACGCCUUGUUUCCCUCUCCCCCGACCGCACCCUGCUGCCCUCGCUUGCAAGGACAGAGCGCGUGCGUGGGCCUUUAUUUCCCUCCUCCUUUUUCUGUUGAUUGCUUUUUAUCUUAUUCGCACUAGGUGCACCCGCACGUGUUUGCUUUAUUGAGUUCUCGCUUUCGCUCUCCGACUCGUCGACCCCAACAGCGUCAGCGCCGCCGUUGCCACCCCCACCCUUGUCCGAGAGGAAGGGGGGAGUGAGUGCUGAGUCCGUUGCCGCUGCCAAAUGGUAGGGCUGUGCCAUGUGCGUGUGCGUGCGUGCGUUCUCGUAUGCCGGUGCAUGCCCGUAUACACACAUAUAUGUGUGUAUACAUGCCCGCGUGCAACCUAUACGUGUGUGUGCCAUCCGGCAGCGCAGCCCCUUUUUGUAUUCACGCCUUUUCAUCUGCCCCUCUCGUCGCUGCUUGCCCCUUCGCGCCCGCCUGCAUGGGUGCUUCUGGGAGAGACACGGUGAUGGCGGGCUAG
rnacentral:misc_RNA from 1 species